GGGCACAACGACUAGGGUUUCGAAUAUGAGAGAGGAAGCGAGUGAUGAGAGCAACCGAAAGAUGAGAGCAACAGAGAGAGAUGAGAGCAAGCGAGAGAGGAGAGAGCAAGCGAGGGAGAUGACAGAAAUCCAGAGAGACGAGAGGAAGCGAGAGAGAUGAGAGGAAGUGAGAGAUGAAUAGUGAAAGCGCGAAACCAAUUUUCAUAUUUUCUGAAUUCCAAAUAUAUCCUCGCCUGACCAUUUGGGUAUUGUUUUUUUCUUUUUAAAAACCAGCCAACAGACAAAAGUCACGUGGCGUUGUCAAAUAGUUGGCAAAA
rnacentral:lncRNA from 1 species